UGAGGUGUGGUUUUGCAUAUAAAAAGUAGCAGGUGACAGGUGAGUCAGUGGAUCAAAUUGCCAGCACACAGUUUCACUGAACUUACAGUGUGUGAAGUUUGAAGUUUGGAAAUGUCUGAUAAGGGAAGAGGAGGACCAAGUGGGCAAGGAAAAGGCAGUGGCGGACAAGGUGGUGGUAGUGACUUAAGCUGCAGUACUGGCCUUGGCGGAUGUGCACUUGGCGGAAAAGGUGGUGACAGCAACAAUGGGUUUGGCUGCACUAUUAGCCUUGCCGAAUGUGGAUUUGGCAGACAAGGUGGCAGCAGUGGCGGAAAAGGUGUUGGCAGCGGUGGACAAGGUGUUGGCAGCGGUGGAAAUAAAAAGAAAUGACUCCAGCAGCUCCUGCAGCAGUGACUCUGACUAGAUGAACAUUUGUGGAGGGACCUGCAUGGCAACAUUACUAUCUUAUCCUUUACUUAAAAAUUGUUUGACAAAUAUAAGAAAAAAUAAGUUAAAUAUAAAUAAUGUGUAAAACAGAAGGCUGAUUCACAUAUUUAGAAAAGCGGCACCUUAAAGCAAAGCCUGUUUCAGUGUCUCUUUUGCUUUUAAUUGGAACGUAAUUUUAAAGUCACCAUAAAGACACCUGGAAAGUGUUUACUGAGAUCAUUUGUCAGAAGCAGGUAUAUUUUUGAAAAUGUGCCAAUAAAAUUCUUUUGCAGCCAGCUGCCCCCUGCUGGUCAUCAAAGAGAAUGUUUUUUGUCGUUUUCUUUUUUUAGCAUUGAAAUAAUCCAGAUUUGUGCAAACACAUAAUCAGCCUUCACCAUAUGUUUACUUGGCAAUGAAACAAUAAAUAU